GGACGGUGGGGCGGCUAACACAUGCAGUCGAACGAAGCCUUCGGGCUUAGUGGCGGACGGGUUAGUAACGCGUGGGAACGUGCCUUUCACUACGGAAUAGUCCCGGGAAACUGGGUUUAAUACCGUAUACGCCCUUCGGGGGAAAGAAUUUCGGUGAAAGAUCGGCCCGCGUUAGAUUAGGUAGUUGGUGGGGUAAUGGCCUACCAAGCCUACGAUCUAUAGCUGGUUUUAGAGGAUGAUCAGCAACACUGGGACUGAGACACGGCCCAGACUCCUACGGGAGGCAGCAGUGGGGAAUCUUGGACAAUGGGCGCAAGCCUGAUCCAGCCAUGCCGCGUGAGUGAUGAAGGCCUUAGGGUCGUAAAGCUCUUUCGCCAGGGAUGAUAAUGACAGUACCUGGUAAAGAAACCCCGGCUAACUCCGUGCCAGCAGCCGCGGUAAU
rnacentral:rRNA from 1 species